rnacentral:rRNA from 1 species
UUAAAUUGAAGAGUUUGAUCAUGGCUCAGAUUGAACGCUGGCGGCAGGCCUAACACAUGCAAGUCGAACGGUAACAGGAAGCAGCUUGCUGCUUCGCUGACGAGUGGCGGACGGGUGAGUAAUGUCUGGGAAACUGCCUGAUGGAGGGGGAUAACUACUGGAAACGGUAGCUAAUACCGCAUAAUGUCGCAAGACCAAAGAGGGGGACCUUCGGGCCUCUUGCCAUCGGAUGUGCCCAGAUGGGAUUAGCUUGUUGGUGGGGUAACGGCUCACCAAGGCGACGAUCCCUAGCUG